rnacentral:rRNA from 1 species
UCGGGAAUUUUGGGCAAUGGGCGAAAGCCUGACCCAGCAACGCCGCGUGAGGGAUGAAGUAUUUCGGUAUGUAAACCUCGAAAGAAUGGGAAGAAUAAAUGACGGUACCAUUUAUAAGCUCCGGCUAACUACGUGCCAGCAGCCGCGGUAAUACGUAGGGAGCAAGCGUUGUUCGGAUUUACUGGGCGUAAAGGGCGCGUAGGCGGCGCGGUAAGUCACUUGUGAAAUCUCUGAGCUUAACUCAGAACGGCCAAGUGAUACUGCUGUGCUAGAGUGCGGAAGAGGCAACCGGAAUUCUUGGUGUAGCGGUGAAAUGCGUAGAUAUCAAGAGGGACACCCGAGGCGAAGGCGGGUUGCUGGGCCGACACUGACGCUGAUGCGCGAAAGCCAGGGGAGCAAACG